rnacentral:tRNA from 2 species
GUCCCUGUAGUGAAAUGGAUAUCACGCGAGGCUUCGAACCUCGAAGUCCGGGUUCAAUUCCUGGCGGGGACACAA